GCACAGGCUUUGCCGUGGGAUAAAGCUCUGGCUCUUUUGGGAUCCCUGCCCUUCACAGCUCCAUCUCCACCACUGACUGCAGAAUUACCUUCAAGCUUUUCCCUGCUUGCUGCUAGAACAGAAGACAAAGAGCCUUCCCAAGAGCUGGAUUUUGGUGGAUUCAGAACCCACACAUGCCCUGGGAGGAAUUUUUUCCCGAGCUGACCCUGAUUCAUUGUCAGGAUCGCGCCAGGCAUCGCUGUGACCCAGGGACAGCAGGAUCAGAUGUUAAAGCUCUGAGCCCAGGGCUCAGCAGCAGGAGGGCUCGUUCCUGCUGGGAUCAGCCCAGACAUUUUUUAUCCAUAUCAAGAGGAAGUUUGGAACUAGAUUUUAUCUGUUUCCCAGAAGCCGCUGAGUGCUUUCAUGUGAAAUGAAGAGUUUGCUGUCAAAAAACAAAAUUUUGGAGCCAUCGGGGCCCUUUGCUUGAUUUUGUCCCGAGGAAUUGAAGCAGUUUAGUGUGGGAUGGCCACAAUGUUAAUGCCCUCCUUCCAAUACACAUCUCGAAUUCCCUUCCCACCUAAACACGCCCUCAGCCCCUGCUUAGGAACACAAAAAAAGGAGAAUUAGGCCACACCUGAGCACUCAGCGCUCCUAAAGUGACCCAGCUGAGUAAACCAAAGGGAUUGCAGCAAGCCUUUCAUCUCCUAAUGGGAUCCCUUUGUGUUGAUUUUAGCACUUUCUCC